UAGGGAAUCUUCCGCAAUGGGCGAAAGCCUGACGGAGCAACGCCGCGUGAGUGAUGAAGGCCUUCGGAUCGUAAAACUCUGUUAUUAGGGAAGAACAAAUGUGUAAGUAACUAUGCACGUCUUGCCGGUACCUAAUCAGAAAGCCACGGCUAACUACGUGCCAGCAGCCGCGGUAAUACGUAGGUGGCAAGCGUUAUCCGGAAUUAUUGGGCGUAAAGCGCGCGUAGGCGGUUUUUUAAGUCUGAUGUGAAAGCCCACGGCUCAACCGUGGAGGGUCAUUGGAAACUGGAAAACUUGAGUGCAGAAGAGGAAAGUGGAAUUCCAUGUGUAGAGGUGAAAUGCGCAGAGAUAUGGAGGAACACCAGUGGCGAAGGCGACUUUCUGGUCUGUAACUGACGCUGAUGUGCGAAAGCGUGGGGAUCAAACAGG
rnacentral:rRNA from 1 species